rnacentral:lncRNA from 1 species
UGGCAAGUACUAUAAACUUAUUUUAACUUUGCGAACUACUGAGAUAGAUGAUCUUUCAUAUGUAUGGAUUAGUUUAGCUGCUGCUCUUCUCUGCUAAUUAUUAGGGAUUAUACGGAAAAUCCAUUUGAAUUUUGAUGUAAAAGCAUGGGAAAAUUUCAGGAUUUCCACUUCACCUGCAAGACUGGCUAUGCCAAAUACUUUGGUAAUCCUAGAAUGACAGUAAAAAAAAUUAUUAGAAAGAAUUCAAAGGAAUGGAGUGUUGAAAAAAGAUUAGAGAACAUACAAAAAUGAAGAGAAAAACUGAAGAUAAAAAUAACUAAAAAUUAAACAAAAUUAAACAUUAGAAAAAACAGCUAAAACAAUGAAAUGAACCUCCAAAAACGGGAAAUAUGUAGACCUAAGCGGAUACACACAGAAAAAAAUGUAGGAAAUAAAUAGAGAUUAAUAACUAAGAAAAAAAAGUAACAUCAAACUAAAGUGUGUUAGUCAAGCAAUUCAUUUUUGGUUUAAUGAAUAGUAAACAUAUUUUAUAACAGCAAAAUAUGUGGUAUAUGCUAAUUUUUUUAGCAACUCAUAUUCCAAAUUUAUUAGAAACAAAGGAAAAUAUUGAAAAUGAUCAA